rnacentral:rRNA from 1 species
AAUAUUGCCCAAUGGGGGAAACCCUGAGGCAGCAACGCCGCGCGGAGGAAGAAGGUCUUAGGAAUGUAACCUCCUUUUCUGGGGGAAGAGCAAGGACGGUACCCCAGGAAUAAGUCUCGCCUCACUACGUGCCAGCAGCCGCGGUAAUACGUAGGUGGCGAGCGUUAUCCGGAAUUACUGGGCGUAAAGCGUCCGCAGGCGGCUUGUUAAGUCUGCUGUGAAAGCUCCUGGCUUAACUGGGGGAGGUCAGUGGAAACUGGCAGGCUUGAGGCGAUGAGAGGGGUGUGGAAUUCCCGGUGUAGUGGUGGAGUGCGUAGAGAUCGGGAGGAACACCAGUGGCGAAGGCGGAUUGCUGGGUCUUAACUGACGCUGAGGCGCGAAAGCGUGGGGAGCAAACAGG